AGAGAAAAACAAAAUUCUGCCAAAGAAGAAAACGAUGCCGCUCAUGGGAAAUUUUCCUCUUCUUUUUUUGCUUCUUCUUCUUCUUCUUCUUCUUGUCCUUUGUUCUA
rnacentral:ribozyme from 12 species